GGAAGUAAAAGUCGUAACAAGGUUUCCGUAGGUGAACCUGCGGAAGGAUCAUUAUUGAAUAAAYGUGAUGGGUUGUUGCUGGCUCUCCUUGGGCAUGUGCACACUUGUCRUCUUUAUUUCUCCACCUGUGCACUUUUUGUAGGCCCUAGAGAAGUGAUUGUYUGAUAAAAUCAGAUAGAUUGAGGACUGCUGUGUCUUUCAAAGGGACCAGCUUUACCUUGUGUAUCUAGGUUCUAUGUUAUUCACAUACUCCUAUGAAUGUAAUAGAAUGUUGACCUGGGUCUUUGUACCUACAAAGUUAUAUACAACUUUCAGCAACGGAUCUCUUGGCUCUCGCAUCGAUGAAGAACGCAGCGAAAUGCGAUAAGUAAUGUGAAUUGCAGAAUUCAGUGAAUCAUCGAAUCUUUGAACGCAUCUUGCGCUCCUUGGUAUUCCGAGGAGCAUGCCUGUUUGAGUGUCAUUAAAUUCUCAACUACACUGAUUUUGUUGGUGUGGCUUGGAUUUGGGGGAGAAUCAUAUUUAUGUUCUUUGCAGGCUUUGUAAAUGAAGUCAGCUCCCCUGAAAUUGAUUAGCGGUACCUCAGUAGAACUGUCUACAGGUGUGAUAACUUAUCUACACCUUAGAUGUCUGCAUGAAAAGGUUAUGCUGCUUCCUAACCCUCACUCCUUAUUGGGAGCACUAAUGACAAUCUUGACCUCAAAUCAGGUAGGACUACCCGCUGAACUUAAGCAU
rnacentral:rRNA from 1 species